rnacentral:tRNA from 1 species
CAGAUAGUAGUUUAUCUAAAACACCGGCUUUGGGUGCCAAAAAUCGCAAUUUGCGCCAUCUGAC